AUUGAACGCUGGCGGCAUGCUUUACACAUGCAAGUCGAACGGCAACGAGGAGAAGCUUGCUUCUCUGUCGGCGAGUGGCGAACGGGUGAGUAUAGCAUCGGAACGUGCCAAGUAGUGGGGGAUAACCAAACGAAAGUUUGGCUAAUACCGCGUAAGCUCCAAGGAGGAAAGUAGGGGACCUAAAUAAGGCCUUACGCUAUUUGAUCGGCCGAUGUCGGAUUAGCUAGUUGGUGGGGUAAUGGCUCACCAAGGCAAUGAUCCGUAGCGGGUCUGAGAGGACGAUCCGCCACACUGGGACUGAGACACGGCCCAGACUCCUACGGGAGGCAGCAGUGGGGAAUUUUGGACAAUGGGGGAAACCGUGAUCCAGCCAUGCCGCGUGUAUGAAGAAGGCCUUAGGGUUGUAAAGUACUUUUGUUAGGGAAGAAAAGCUAGUUUUUAAUAAAAAUUAGUGAUGACGGUACCUAAAGAAUAAGCACCGGCUAACUACGUG
rnacentral:rRNA from 1 species